AAACACCAAUAGAAGCUAGUAAAAUACAAGAACCUAUCAAAUUACAAACUAACUACAUCACCAAAGUCAUUGUAACUUGAAAUCAAUGUUUAGUUUUGCACUUCAUAAACUAUAGUCUAUCAACUUCUAACACCAAUCGGAAUGCAGAUCUAAGGGUACGAUGAAAUCGAAAUCUAGUAUCUUCAACCUAGAUCCCCAAAUUCAAAAAUCU
rnacentral:lncRNA from 1 species